AUUGAACGCUGGCGGCAGGCCUAACACAUGCAAGUCUGGCGAGCGGCGGACGGGUGAGUAAUGUAUGGGGAUCUGCCUGCUGGAUGGGGAUCACUACUGGAAACGGUAUCUAAUACCGCAUACCAUCAGAUGAACCCAUAUGGGAUUAGCUUGUAGGUAAGGUAACGGCUUACCUAGGCGACGAUCCCUAGCUGGUCUGCGAGGAUGAUCACCCAGACUGUGACGGAGACGCGGCCCAGACUCGUACGGGAGUCAGCAGUGGGGAAUAUUGGACAAUGGGCGCAAGCCUGAUGCAGCCAUGCCGGGUGUAGGAAGAAGGCAUUCGGGUUGUAAAGUACUUUCAGACGGGAGGCGUUACCGACAGAAGAAGCACCGGCUAACUCCGUGCCAGCAGCCGCGGGAAUUC
rnacentral:rRNA from 1 species